AAAUAUAACUUUCAACAACGGAUCUCUUGGCUCUCGCAUCG
rnacentral:rRNA from 1 species